AUUAAAAUGGAAGAUAUCAAUAUAUUUUAUAAAUAUAUUUAUUAAAUAGUAAAUAAAUUGAACGUCUUAAAAAUCGAUCAAGUUCGUUAAAAAUAUAAACGUCGUUCACAUUCACGUUCUUUUUUAAUAAAACGAGUGACGUUCACGUAUCGUUCACUACAUAUGAACGUGAACGCGUGAACGUGCGUUCAUGAACGACGUUCUUUCCAAAAACUGGUAUUGAGGUGUCGGUGCGAACUUUACAGACGUACCACUGUGAAAUAAUACAAUUGUAAUAUAGCAGUUUAUUGGUAAUUAACGUUUUGGGUAUUAAAUACAUCUCUUCUUUGAUGAUAUAAAUGUAUAAUCCAUAAAUAUCCAACGCCGCGUUCGCGGCGCAGAGCAAAGUAAAAAAAAAAGAAAGCAGCGCGCGACGACGAUGUAUAUUAGGCCGAGAGAACCAACUUGUAUUCAUUGUAUUCAUUGCAACCAAUGUUAUUUUACGAAAAUCAUGUCAGCUAUCCUGUAUCCUAAACUAAUGAACCAAUUGACUUGAAACUUUCACGAAUAGCUCAGUUUGGUGUGUAGAUAAUUCUGUGAAAAAUUCAAGUACAGCCUUAGUAAUGCGCUAAACUGCUAAAGUAUUGGCAUAAUUAUUAAACAAAACGCUAUUUUAUUCAACAAUUUCACGAAGUAUGUGUUUGUGCUGGCCGCAAAUAAAAUAAAAUAAAAAAUAAACACUAUGGUAUUAAACGAAACAAUUUAAAACCGACAGUAGUAUAGUAAUUACUAAUUAGUAAUGUUCUUAUUUGUCUCAGAUCUGCCUUGAAUUUGCUUUAACGUCUACGUAACUAUUAUUAUUUUAUAAGUAAUUAUAGUAUUAAACUCUAGAUUUGUUUAAAUCACUGACUUAGUUAUGAAUGCAUUACCAAAUGAAAAAAUAAAUAUUGAUGGCAACGUGUACCUAUAAACUACACUUGGUGAUUUGCCACCAUGGUAAAUCAAUGACAUCAACUAAUUAUACAUGCAUUAUCCGACAUCUUAAUAAAUGGGUUAAAUGUAAUGAUUCUAAUAUUUAUUACGACCGGUGGCCACGUGGUGAUAAAGACAUAUAAAAUCGUUCUCCAGCAGAAAUUAAAACUUUAACUAUAUAAUAAUAUAUCUCCUCUCUCCCGAACAAAUAUAAAAGAUUUAACUAUAUACAUAAUUGCAAAAUUGUUAUUAAAAAAAUGAGUGAUAUCUCAUCAAAAACACUCCGUGUAAAAAUAUCGCUAAGAAAAAAAAAUUAUAAAAGUUGUGAUAUCAAAAAUUGGCUAAGUAAUUUUAUAAAUUCAUUAAUAUACAAGUAUUUAUAAUUGUUUGUAUUUAAUGUAACUUGUAUUUAUUUAGUGUAAAUAAUAAUUUUACUUUGUUCUGCGCAGUUACUAUUAUUUAUGUUUCUAGUUUCUACGACUAAGAAACCAAAUGCACUAUGUCUCGAUUUCUUCAUAGGUAAAUAAUCGCAUCAUUUUGUAUAUCUUUAUAAUAGUUAAAUUAUAGAACAAUACAAAUAUUUAAAUACAUCCUUCUAAUAUUUGCCAAGCUAAGUAAAAUUAUUACUUACACUAAAAUAUAAACACACAAGGUACUUAUACAUUAAAUAUAAACAUUAAAACAGUUAUAAAUACUUCUAUAUUUAAUGAAUUUAUGAUAUUACUUAGCCAAUUUUUGAUAUCACAACUUUUUAAUUUAAGUGAUUUUUUUACUUAGCGAUGUUUUUACACGGAUGUGUUGCUACGGAAAAAAAUAUGUACUAAAAUAUUUUAGUUAAUUUGACUAAAUUAUAGUAAGAAAUACUAAUUUUAGAUGGUAAGCCUAACUAUAAAAUUAUAGUUGAAUAUUUUUAGUUUUUUUACCUAUAUUUUGAUUAUUUCAACUAAAAGAUUUUAGUAUUUUAUUAUUGCUUAAAUUGUUUUAGUAAUUAUUGCAAUAUUACACCUGACAACGGGUGCCGGUCAUACUGGACAACGGCUCGUGGUUACACUGUUACUUUUAUUUUUACCUAUUUCGGGUUUUUUACCUCUAUGGCAGUGAUUGAGUGAUCGAAAAUCGGCUUUUCCUUUUACUGUUUUUUUUCCGUGUCCGUCAUCGUCAUUGCGUCAUUUGAAAUUUAAAUUUUCUUAAGUGUUAAAUUUUAAUUUGUCACCUGUCAUCAAUACGUUUUUGCAUAGGUUUUUGUUGUCAUUUGUAUACAUAUGGUCGUAAAGUUUACAUUUGUUGUCGCAAAAUUACAUCAUUUAUUUAUUUGUUAACAUACCUGCAGGACUAAUAUUUAUACCAUUAAAAUAAAGUAGAAUCGGGUUUACUUGAACAUGUGUUCGCCGGAACUUGGCUCGUAGUCGAACUUUGACGUCGCGUGUCCGGACUCAGUGUUCCGACAGACGGUGGUGACACUGAAGUGCAACAGGUGUUCAUUGUACU